rnacentral:tRNA from 1 species
GGCUUGUUGGUCUAGGGAAUGAUUCUCGCUAGGUGUUGGUGAGGUCUGGGGUUCAAAUCCCAGACAAGCCC